AACGAACGCUGGCGGCAUGCCUAACACAUGCAAGUCGAACGAGACCUUCGGGUCUAGGGGCGCACGGGUGCGUAACGCGUGGUAACCUGCCCUUAGGUUCCGAAUAACUCCCCGAAAGGUGUGCUAAUACCGGAUAAUGUCUUCGGGCCAAAGAUUUAUGGCCGUGGGAUGGGCGCGGGUUGGUUUAGCUAGUUGGUAGGGGACAAGCCUACCAAGGCGACGAUGCUUAGCUGGUCUGAGAGGAUGCUCAGCCACACUGGGACUGAGACACGGACUCGACUCCUACGGGAGGCAGCAGUGGGGAAUAUUGGACAAUGGGCGCAAGUCUGAUACAGCAAUGCCGCGUGAGUGAUGAAGGCCUUAGGGUUGUAAAGCUCUUUUACCCGGGAUGAUAAUGACAGUACCGGGUGAAUAAGCACCGGCUAACUCCGUG
rnacentral:rRNA from 1 species